GACGGACUCACCUCCAGAGGCGGCGGGGCCAGGCCGGGCUCUGAGGGGGCCACGGCGGCCAUGACAGAGCCGGGUGCUGGUGCCAGGUCCUGCCACGGAAACACGAACCGAGGGGAAAAGAAAGCUGGGGGAAAAAAGCCAGGAAAAAUAUGAAAAGAAGGGGAGGAAAGGCAAAAAUUCCCUCUGGGCACAGCAGGGGUGGCAGGCUCGGGGUUGGGCACCCCCCAAAGCUUUAGCUUUGCUGGCCGCCAUUUCCUGAGGGUCCCCUUCAGGCUGAGGGGAGCUCCUUCACCCUGGGGCCCCAUCCCAGGGAAUAAACAGCCCACCACGGAGCAGGUGCUGUAUCCCAGGGUUCAGGUGGUAGAGACACUGUGGCAAACACUGCAUCUCAAAAAAGGCAUCACCCCCAAAAGCAGCGCUGCUUUGGCUGCUCGAGGAGCCCCCAUAAAGUGUCUCACAAGCGGCUGCAGGGAACAGAGGUGGCACUUCCAGUGCCUUUCCAGCAGAAUUCCAGUCCCCCUGGUGACCUCGGGGCCACCAUCGAGGACUCUGGUGCCCAACACAGGAUAAAAAGCAAUCAAAGAAACUGGGAGAGGGAGCAAUGGAGCAGCAGCGCCACAGUGACCUCCCCAGACCCCUCCUCAGCACGUUCCCUUCCUGAUCUCCUCCAAACUCCUCCUGAACACAGCUCGUUCCAGCCAACUGCUGAGAAUGGGAACAUGUAGUUUCCAUUAUGAAGUUUAAAUGUAUUUCCUAAAAAUAACCUGCUGUUUGGGGCUUUUAGCAUCAGAAAUAAAUCCAUAUACACCGAUAAAACCUGAUUAUAAUUAGUCACACAAGUAAAAUUAUGAGUGUAAUUAACUACAGCAAUUAAUUGAAAUGCCUUUGGGACAUCAUUUCCCUUCUUGCAGUUGAACGCAAUUUGCAUUUAAAGUUAUAUCGUAAAUGCUAUAAGAUCAUAAUCAAUUUGGGUUAUUUUAUUAUCUUUUACCUAUUAAUAUCUUCUGAAGUGAUUUAGACAUCCAGUAGUCAAACACUGUUUGGAUGUAAAAAGAAAUCUGAACAGCUGAUACUGUUUUAAUGACCAUGGGUUUUGUUUUCCCGUAAUCCAUCUCCUAGCUAUCUCUAGCUAAACUUCUCUGUGCCCUUCCUUUUUAUUACCUCUCAAAACUAUAUUGUUUUUCAUCGACUGAAAUUACCUUCAUAUGUCAACACCCAUUCCCUUCCCACAUUACCAAGACUGCUCGUUGUUCCCAGCACGUAAGAGAAAGAUCUUGAUGGAUUAGUGAUUAGACGGGUAGUUAUGAAGAAUUUAUAUGAGAGACAAAGAAAGGCAGAAGUUUUACAUUUUGCUGAUUGUGCUGAUGUUGAGAUUAAAUUCUAAAUAAAUCAUAGACAUUUCCUAUCAAGAAUGCAGUAUCUUUGUAAACCUGCAAUCAUUUGAGUUUGUGGCACAUGAAGUCUCAGCAUUGCACAAAAUGCUUUCUUACAUGCAGUAAAACAUGAUGGUUUAUGUCCUGGAACCCAGCAGUGACUGCUGAACCUGGCAGUACCCCUGGGAGAACAGCAGUGACCUCCCCAGGGCAAACAAGAGAUGGAGUUUAAAUCUUAAAACAGCAAGAUAAAGACAGAAAGUCAACCAUGGAGCUGCUGAAGCUUCUCCAGCCCUGUCAGCUGAGAGGCACAGUGACUGAUGGUACCCCGCCGUCUGUGCAGCCCUUCAUGCCAAACACAUCUAAGCAAAAGGGAGGAUUCACCACUCAUUUGAUCUCCUCAGAGAAUUUCAGUGCUCCAGAUCAUUGGUUCAGCUCAAACAUUUUAGGAACUGUGUGCUGUGACAGCUGCAGUCCCAGGAGUGUCCCUGCGUACAGAGAGCUCAGUCCACAAAGCAGGUUGUGAGCGGAGAAAUCGCCAAGGCUCCAUUUGCUCCAGCGGUGUUACAACGGUUUGAUUGGCAGGAACACGGUGUCUUACCAAGCACUGUGACAAGGACUCUGGUGUCACUCACAUCAACCCCCUGAAAGGGGUCUCUAUUGUUCCCGUCGUUGUUACCGCGGCGCCAGGGCAUAAACGGGAAGUUGGGGUUUAUGAUCCCACGGAUAGCAGUGGACACGUGAUGCAUCCAGGCUGAUUUAUGCUGAAAAACAGCUAUUAAAGCUCAUAAAGCACAAACAUUCAGAUUGCACGGAAACGCACUCAAAAAGCCAGUGCAGUUCCUGCUGCAGCCACAGGGCUGUUGUGAGGCCGGGACAGGGAAGACCUGCUGGGACCGCAGGCAAUCCACGCUUCAUGAUUUAUAAAUGCCUCGUAUAAGGCUUAUGAAAAAGCAAAAUCCUGCCUGCCUGUUUCUCAGCAAGUACCAAAUGACCCCAGGAAAGAUUCAGCCUCAAGAAAGAGAGAUCAGUUGGUGAAACCAGCAGCUGGUUUUGCCAACACAAGGUAACACACGUUCACAGGAGGGCUGUGGGACCCAGGGAUGGGCAGAAGCACCUUGGAGAGCUAAACUCAUUUACAAAAGAGCAUGCACAGUAAGCUCUAUAAGAUGGAAUCAACUCCUCCGAUAGCUCUUUUCCCUCCUUUGACUAAGACAUAAAUGGCUAAGUAAGUGUUUAACUUCUGCAGAACACAGAGCUGCCUGAAAUUUUCAACUUUCUGGCUGAACACACUAAAUACACGCUUAAAAAAAUAAGAAUAAAGACUGAGAUGGGGGUAAAAAAAACCCCUCAACACAUGAGAAAGCAACAGUUUACUUUGCAAACCAGUUGUCCCCAGCAGAGCCCACAGCAGUGAGAGUGUAACCUGCUCCUCCCCGAGGAAAUGAGGGAGAACAGCCCCACAACCGCAUCUGGGCACGGCCAUAAAACCUGCAGCCUCAGUGCCUGGGUGGCUGGAACCUGCUGCCAAGUUCCUGUCAGGACCGCUGGAGUGGAGUGAUUAACACACCCUGUGCCCUCAUGAGAGAGCAGUCAGUUAUCCCGGGAUAACCCGUGGCAAAGGGACUGUUUUGGGCACAGCCCGUCCUGCUGCUCCCCACCCCACCCUUCUGCCUGCCUCGUCUCCAGACUCACCUGCGAGGGACCUUCAGGACAGACAGCUCUCCUGCCCCAGUGCCCUGAGCACUCCUGGGUUAGCAUUUGGAUGGGGUGAUUUCCAUAGGAAGCUCCUUGCAGCACGUCCUCCAUCGACAGCUCUGUUUGUUCUUAUUAAGAGGAAUUUAAUCAUCACUGAUGACUUCUACGAGUCCUCUGCCAUCAGGGACAUUAUUUCUAAUACUGAAAGGGUGGCAAUUUCCUCUCUUCCCACUCCUCACUCCUUUUUUCCCCUCUUGUUAAAAAGUGACCAGCAGGUCACUGCAAAGACAAGAUGAAAAUAGUAAGACUCUGAAAUAAAAGUUCAGUUAAGGCCUAACCACUAGAAAUAGUCAGACAGGGCACAGCACAACCGUGGACAUGCACAAACUGCAAACAGUACAAGUGACCUGCCCACAACACAUUUUUUGGUAUCCCAGUUAUUUGGGGAAUCUUAAGCAGUAAAAUGACUGGAAAGUAUUUGGUGCAGCUUGCAAGGGACUGUCAGCCCAGGUCAGCUGAGCAAGGGGGGGAUCCUGCAUUGUAAGCUGUUGUGGUAAAGGCAGCUGGGAGCAGGUUGAAGGUCUCUCUGAAUUGUGCAGGUUGGUGUCCAGCUGACAGCCCAGCACAGCCAGCCAAAAUAAAUGUGGCCCCUCUCUGCAAGCAUUCUUCCUCAAAUACCUUCCUUUGGAGUCAUCUGUUAUUUUAAGCAAAAUACAUAAACAAAAGAAAACAGUGUCAGUUUUACUAUUGUACACAUGGACCCAAAAUACCCAUUACAAUCAUCACCAAAAUAAAUUAUUGUCCCGGUUUGAAAUGGUGGGAAACUUCAGUUUUCCUUUCAUUCAAGUGGAGAGCAUUUUAUAGUAAGACAUUCCUUAGGGAUAAUAUACACUUUAAUGGACUCACAUAAAAGUUAUCAUAUGUUUUUAUAUCAAGUCUGUGUAUAUUAAAUUUAGUAGUGUGGGAAACAGAAGAAGAGCCUGUUAAGAACUUGAAACGAUCUUUUUUUAUGCAAAAGAAAUUAAGGAUGACACUUCCAGUGGCUCUUACAAGAGGCCCUUGAAACAACAGCUUCUGAAAAUGAAAUAGAGAUUUGUGUAAAAAGUCUUUUUUCAUAUUGGACGAGUGCAGCCUCUUCUUUAAGCAGGUAACUGCAUUUUACAGACAGAGAACCCGGCUAAGAAAACCCUUCCCUGUCCCCCUUGUCCCUCUUUUUCUUCCCCACAAAGAAAAAGCAGUUUUGUUCAGCAGACUGGAGCAAUCAGAACCAUCAGAGCUCAGGUUGCGGACGUGUCAGCUUUUCCACGGCCCAUCCCCUUCCCCUCGGCCAUCCUGCAUUUAGUUUGAAAAGGUCAUUAAACAAGACACAAAAGGUGAAGUGCAAGGUUACAGAUUUAUAACCUGCCUGAGCAGACAGGGGCUGACAAAGGGCUGGUGCUGCCUGGGACACCAGGCUGAGGUACAGGAGGUGUCUGCUUUGUGCCCUGCAAUCCAACCCAGCAGCUGAAGGAAGCAGGAGCAAACCCAGCUCAGAGUGAAAUAUAUUCAGAGGGGAUGCUCACAUUCGUGUCCUACCUUUCCUUUAAUCAGCUCUAAUAUAUGUUAUUUAUUUAUUUGAACUCUACCCUUCUUCACCCUCACCUUGUCUUCUGCUGUUUUUCCACCACCUGCCACUCACACGAGAGGGAAGGCAACCAGUAUUUUGGUCCUAGUUAAAUCAAAUAAGUUAAAUAACAGUCCAAGCUCCUCAUCCUGACAGAUUUUGUGCUAAAAGCUAAUUAUUCUUCAGGUCACUCUGAAUUCUUACUCCUUUAAACUGCUGCUGGUUUACAGCAGUAUCUCAUUGAGCUGCCAGAUCUCUGGAUUAUGUUAAAAGCAAAACAGACUGGCUUCUUUAAUUGAGGCACUAUUUGGAAACACCCACACUGAAAGUAAUCAUUUUCUGGUUUAUAAUUCAUUCAUAAUCAUUUAAAAAAAAAUAAUUGGAAGGAAAGGUAAGAAGUUAAAACAUCCAGAGUGACAUCCUUGUUCGUAUCUCAUGGCCAAACUGCUCCUCUGAUAUGCUGCCAACCUUUUAUCAAAAAGCUUCCACCAAAAGUCUCUUUGUUACAAGUUAAAUGCUGGGGCUGCCUGUGCUCAAAGGGGCUGUUGGGCCCAGAGAUUUAUUCCCUGGCGUGGGUCUUUUAAACAGGAACAUUUUUAUAAUCAAAACUGGAGAUAAAAAGGCACGAGCACAUGGCAAACAAACCUUCACCAGCGCGAGCGAGGUCAUCGACGGGAGCGUGUGCUAACGAGCCUCGUGCAUCACUGGGGCCUUCCUGUGUGGAAUCCUUUCCUGCCCCUUGAAGAAAUGUUCUGAUACAACACGAAUGGCUUUGAUUUAGAGAUCUCCAAAGGGGUUUUAUUCCAUAUCAGAAGGAAAACAUCAUGUAACAAAAGAAUCCAUCGAGCUUUCUGUUCUGCUUGGUGGUGGCUCACAACAGAAACCUCCAGCGUCUCAACAAAACCCUGAGCCAGGAUUUAAACUGCUGCAAGAACAUCUGAACCACAGAGCUCAAAAACUCAGCCAGUUCAACCCUUCUGAGUCUGGAAGUUUUAGGUUAAUACUGUGCUUCCUAUAUCAUAUCUCAGCAAAUUUAAACCAAGAUCACCCAGAGCUGCAGCAAUACCUGGCCAAACUUCUCCCUGAAAGUCUAAGUGAGAUGACCUGACUGUGACAGAAUAAUGACAAACCAAAGUAAAAAGAAGAUAUUUCAGAAAUGAAAAUAUCUUUUUGUUUUCUAAUUUACAAAAUCUAUGUAGUUUUUUUUUUUAAAUCACCAUUAUCUGCAGCAUUAGGGUGUGCUCUAAUUCAGUGAGGACAGUGCUCUGAGCAGAAGGCUGGACUGGAUCAGCUCAUUCCAACCCAAAUUAUUUUAUGAUUCAAUAGUUCUAUGCCAAAUAAUACCCUGUGCUAUGAUUUCAUUUCUAUGAAGUUGAUGUUACAGUCUGUGGACAAGACAGAAAGUAAAAAAAACCCUCCAUCCCUUUGGUUUGAGUAAAAGGGAAAUGUCUCUGUUCCUGUCAUGAGAUAAAACAGAGUCUGCCUUGGUAAGGCCCCCUUCCCAAGGAGCUCCCUGUGCUUCCCAAACUCUGGAUCAGGGAAGAACGUGGGAUUUUAGCCUGUUACACAGAGCUGAGGAACAACAGACUGAGACAACACUUCCCAAAUGCUCAGCACAGUCCCCACACAGCAGAGCUCCCCCAGCCAGUCCAGUUGGACUUUGCACCCAAUAAAACUCUAAUGCUGAAAAAAACUUCCAGCAGCACCGAGAUAAAUAAUAUCCAAGUACAGGGAGUCCUGUAUUGUCAGAUCACACAAACACUGGAACAAAGGCUCUCAAGCAUCUGCUGCUCUGUUUAUUUUUCUUGCAGGGGAUGGGAGUGCACGAACUCCGAUCCCCCCCAGCAGCUUGUGACCCACCUGGGGACAUCUGUGCUCUCCUCAGUGUUUUUAAAUGCACUGUUAGAAGUUAGAAGGUGAGGGUCAGUCAUCAGGUAACUGCUCAAGAGCUGUCUGGAAUAACCCUAAAUCAAAAUAAAAGCUGUAUUUUGCCAUUAUUUUUCCUCCAUUUGUUUUCUACUCUCACAAUUAGCAGGGGGAAGCCACUGGAUGGGCUUUUGUACAAAUGCAUGUUCUAUUCCUACUGGUAUAUUUAUCUUGUUUUAGUCUCAAAAUGAGCAUCCAUACCUGCUUCUGGUGCCUCUUUCAUUCUCACAAGCUGGAAUAAACACAGGAAAGCAGCCUGGCUUGGUUUUAUUCCCGUGCCUUUUCCAGGGGCAUCACCACCAACCACACCAGCUCCGAAAGCUUCCAGCCACCAGUGGCUGAACAACUGAAAUGUAACAAAUCAACAGAAAUUCUCCUUGUGAUUUUCAGUCUUGAGGUCAUUUUUUGUGCAAUCUAAAUAAAGGACUAAGCUUGA